UACGUAGGGUGCAAGCGUUGUCCGGAAUUAUUGGGCGUAAAGAGCUCGUAGGCGGUCUGUCGCGUCGGCUGUGAAAACCCGAGGCUCAACCUCGGGCCUGCAGUCGAUACGGGCAAACUAGAGUACUGCAGGGGAGACUGGAAUUCCUGGUGUAGCGGUGAAAUGCGUAGAUAUCGAGAGGAACACCUGCGGCGAAGGCGGGUUGCUGGGCCGACACUGACGCUGAUGCGCGAAAGCCAGGGGAGCGAACGGGG
rnacentral:rRNA from 1 species